rnacentral:rRNA from 1 species
CCUACGGGCGGCAGCAGUGGGGAAUAUUGCACAAUGGGGGAAACCCUGAUGCAGCGACGCCGCGUGAGUGAUGAAGGAUUUCGGCUUGUAAAGCUCUAUCAGCAGGGAAGAAAAUGACGGUACCUGACUAAGAAGCCGCGGCUACCUACGUGCCAGCAGCCGCGGUAAUACGUAGGGGGCAGGCCUUAUCCGGAAUUAUUGGGUGUAAGGGGAGUGUAAACGGGUGUGGAAGGCAGACGGGAAAACCGGGGGGUUAAUCCCGGGACUGCAUUUGGAACGGUGUGGCUGGAGUGGGGGAGAGGGAGGCGGAAUUCGUGGUGUAGCGGUGAAAUGCGUAGAUAUUAGGAAGAACACCAGUGGCGAAGGCGGCGUGCUGGACGCAAACUGACGCUGAGGCUCGAAAGCGUGGGGAGCGAACAGGAUUAGAUACCCGUGUAGUC